rnacentral:lncRNA from 1 species
UCCAUCUCUUCCCAUGUUUUCAUAAGUAGCAUUUCCCUUGCGGUGUGGAUGGAACUCUACCUCCUCCUUUUCAGUUCCUGGAGGGAUGCCUUAGAUGUCUUCAUGGACACCCAAGAAGCACAAAGGAACACAGGAAAACAUUAUUUCCCACUGGAUAAUCUUGUUCUAUCUUGCAAGUUUCUGAGUCAUGCAGCCUGGUGUCUCAGUCCUUCUGUACUACACAGCAGAAGGGAUGGUGACUCAGAGAGGUGAACUCCCUGUUCCCACAAGCCCUGGUCUCACCCAUUUGCACACGUGGGCUUAGUCCCGUGAUGCCACUGCAGCCACCACAAGGGCACACCA